UACGUAGGGGGCAAGCGUUGUCCGGAUUUAUUGGGCGUAAAGAGCGUGUAGGCGGCUUUGCAGGUCCGUUGUGAAAACUCGAGGCUCAACCUCGAGACGCCGGUGGAAACCGUAAAGCUAGAGUCCGGAAGAGGAGAGUGGAAUUCCUGGUGUAGCGGUGAAAUGCGCAGAUAUCAGGAGGAACACCCGUGGCGAAAGCGGCUCUCUGGGACGGUACUGACGCUGAGACGCGAAAGCGUGGGGAGCAAACAGG
rnacentral:rRNA from 1 species